CGACGUGGGUAACCUGCCUCAUACAGGGGGAUAGCAGCUGGAAACGGCUGAUAAAACCGCAUAAGCGCACAGCAUCGCAUGAUGCAGUCUGAAAAACUCCGGUGGUAUGAGAUGGACCCGCGUCUGAUUAGCUGGUUGGUGAGGUAACGGCCCACCAAGGCGACGAUCAGUAGCCGGCCUGAGAGGGUGACCGGCCACAUUGGGACUGAGACACGGCCCAA
rnacentral:rRNA from 1 species